AACGCACCUUGCGCUCCUUGGUAUUCCGAGGAGCAUGCCUGUUUGAGUGUCAUUUAAUUCUCAAUCCCCACCUGUUUGUUAUGAACUGGCUUGGUGGAUUGGAUGUGGGGGUAUUGUUUGCGGGCCUCUUCAGAGGUCGGCUCCCCUGAAAAGCAUUAGCGGACCCGUUUGCGGACCCGUCACUGGUGUGAUAAUUAUCUACGCCAAAGACAACUGCUCUCUGGUAGUUCUGCUUCUAAUCGUCCUUUACUUGGACAAUCAAUAUUUGAAUGCUUGACCUCAAAUCAGGUAGGACUACCCGCUGAACUUAA
rnacentral:misc_RNA from 1 species